AAGCUCUCCACCUAACGAAAUGACGCGUCUCCGUUUUACGCCCUUAAUUUCAAAAUUCUGUAUUCUGAUCUUUCUUGAGAUGUGCGUAUCUUGAGCAUUUCAAAUUUUGAAAUUCAAACUUCCAUUACAAACUUAUUGUACCUGUUUCUCUUUCUUUAUAUGAUGAUAAUUGACCAUGUGAAGAUAUUUUGAAUGUUUGGAUGUUCACGGAUAGCAACCGUCAUCAUUGUCAGUUGAGUUGAUGUGAUCAAGGUGUUCGAAGAAAUGCCCCACUAAAUUCAGAUGUAUAGCAUCUUCUUUAGGGGGUAUGAUAUAAUACCACCAUUUUGCAGGUGGGAAAAGAUACGAAGAAGGUCUGCCUAUAUCUAUGAAGAUCAGUAGUGCCAUGAAAGCUGCAGUUGGUGUAAAAUUGAUUUUCUAUUGAUGCUCUUUGUGAGUUUAGAUUUUUGACAUGUCUAAAUCAUGGAGAAUAAUGAAGGAUAUGGAAUGUGGAACAAUUCUGUAGAAUUGAUUAUAUGAAUACUUGCAGGGGACGAGGACAGUGUGUGACCAAAGCAACAAGAUAUUCACCAGCAUAUCAGAAUUUGUGUAUUCAAAGCAGAGGAUGCUCAGCUGACUCCUUUAUUGCGCCUUGGAGCUGGAGCUUGUGCUGGAAUAAUUGCAAUGUCUGCCACUUAUCCUUUGGACAUGGUGCCACUUAUCAAACCCUCUGCUUAUUCAAAGAAGCAUUAAGAGGUUGAAACACGUUAUUUGGUUAAUUUUCAAGUCUGGAACUUUACUCUCCCCCGUCCUUUCAAUUGUCAAGUACUCCUUUGUACAUAGAUAUAGUUUGAUAUCAAAAUGAAAUGGUGUUAAAUUUCGGUACUUGAAAAAGGAACUUUGUACAAAAUAAAUACCAAUUAACAUAUAAUUAAUGUUUCAAAUGAUUUGUUAGAA